rnacentral:rRNA from 1 species
AGGGUUAGUCGGGGACUAAGGCAAACCCGAAAGGGGUAGUCGAUGUAAAAUCGGUUAAUAUUCCGAUACCGGCUAUAGUUUGUUAUAACAUGACGAGGGUAUAAAGGUGCUGCGUACAGACGGUAUGUACGUUGAAGGCGUAAGCUGAUAGUACUGUAAACCUCCGGGGGCACAGAUAAUGCACCGUGAACCUUCCAAGAAAAGUGUUAUAGCGUUAGGCUAUAGGCGCCCGUACCGCAAACCGACACAGGUAGUCAAGGAGAGAAUCCUAAGGUGCUCGAGUGAUUCAUGGCUAAGGAACUAGGCAAAUUUACCCUGUAACUUCGGGAGAAGGGGUGCUUCCCUCGUAAGAGGAAGCCGCAGUGAAAAGGCCCAAACGACUGUUUAGCAAAAACACAGGGCUGUGCGAACAUGAAAGAGGAAGUAUAAAGCCUGACACCUGCCCGGUGCUGGAAGGUUAAGGGGGGGAGUUAGCUUCGGCGAAGCUCUGAACUGAAGCCCCAGUAAACGGCGGCCGUAACAAUAACGGUCCUAAGGUAGCGAAAUUCCUUGUCGGGUAAGUUCCGACCUGCACGAAUGGUGCAACGAUUUGGGCACUGUCUCAGCCAUGAGCUCGGUGAAAUUGUAGUAUCGGUGAAGAUGCCGAUUACCCGCAGCGGGACGGAAAGACCCCGUGAACCUUUACUAUAGCUUCGCAUUGACUUCGGAUAUGUAAUGUGUAGGAUAGGUGGGAGACUUUGAAGCAGCGUCGCUAGGCGUUGUGGAGUCAUCCUUGAAAUACCACCCUUUGCUUAUCUAGAGCCUAACUCAGUUGAGGACAGUGCGUGGUGGGUAGUUUGACUGGGGUGGUCGCCUCCAAAAGAGUAACGGAGGCUUCUAAAGGUUCCCUCAGCACGCUUGGUAACCGUGCGUAGAGUGCAAUGGCAUAAGGGAGCUUGACUGAGAGACAUACAGGUCGAUCAGGUACGAAAGUAGGACAUAGUGAUCCGGUGGUUCCGUAUGGAAGGGCCAUCGCUCAAAGGAUAAAAGGUACUCCGGGGAUAACAGGCUGAUCUCCCCCAAGAGCUCACAUCGACGGGGAGGUUUGGCACCUCGAUGUCGGCUCGUCACAUCCUGGGGCUGGAGAAGGUCCCAAGGGUUGGGCUGUUCGCCCAUUAAAGUGGCACGCGAGCUGGGUUCAGAACGUCGUGAGACAGUUCGGUCCCUAUCUGCUGUGGGCGUAAGAAGUUUGAGGAGCUCUGACCUUAGUACGAGAGGACCGCGUUGGACAGAC